GGGUGCGAUCAUACCAGCACUAAUGCACCGGAUCCCAUCAGAACUCCGCAGGUAAGUGUGCUUGGGCGAGAGUAAUACUGGGAUGGGUUACCUACCGAGAAGACCCCUUAUUGCACCCC